rnacentral:lncRNA from 1 species
UUCAGCCAGCUCACGCUCGAUCAACAACGAAACCAGAAGAAGCCCCAUCGUUGACUGAAGAUCCUCACCGCACGGAGUCAAGACCACCUGUUUCUCCACUAUCUUCGUGCGCCAACGUUUCCAUCGGGUUCUUCUCACGCUGUUGCUGAAACUGCUUUAUGAUCGCUCCACUGCAGCAACGACACAGCUCCACCUCCUACCCUAGUUGCUGCCAAGAAACCAACGUCCCCACUCAGUCAAGGUUUCCUAGCCAGCGAAGACCCCACCGAAAUCCCACAUCACUCCUCUCUCCUCUGCGGCACGCGCCAGCGUCCACUAGCCCCUGUCCCCUUCGGUCAAGCUUCUUCGUCCAGCAGAAUGAGUUGACUUCUAGCUGCCGCUAUUCCGCUGAAGAUCGAAGCUCUCAGAUCCAGCAACCGUGAAGCCAACGAAGCCGGAGCUGCACGCGUCUUCCCCAGCUCGACGCUGCUUCCUCUCCGCGUGUCCUCGGCCCGUGAAUUUCAGCACCUUCGGCCAGUUAGCAGCCCAGCUCAUCUGUGAUUCCAGCGAGCCUUCUCGAAGAAGCCCAGUCACGUGUCUCCAGCUUAGCACUUUCAGCAAUUUUCAGCCCAAAGAGAGCCCAUUUUCAGUUUAAUUCUGGCUCAGCAAGCAACCCACAAUUCAGUAUUUUCAAGCCCAAGUGAUUAAAGAAGUCAGCCCAAUCUUAAAGUCCAAAGUUUCUUCGGGCUUGCGAAGUUCUUGUCCCAGCCCAAGUUCGGCCGCCGUUGCGUCGUCGUCUCGGUGUCCCGGCCUUCGUUUGGUGCAAGUGGGUUUUACUCACUAAUGCUUUCUUAGUUUGCUAAUUAUACUUAGGGUUGGUUAGAUUUAAUUAAAUGCAAUUAGGUGGUUAGAUUAGGUUAGAACAAAUAAAUUAGUGACUUAAGGAUGCAUGUUAGGUGGUUAGCUAUAGCCAUUAGGGAGUAGAAAUACUCUAUUAUUUAUUGAAUGCAUCUCGGGAUUUUUCCCUACCCGUUUCGAGUUCCAUUCAGGCAAUACGGGCCUAAAUUGGAUUUUUAAUAUUAAUUUAUUUAAUUUUCGAAAUUAAUUAUUUAAUUAUUUAUUUUUCUGGAAAUUCAACCGGGAUGGUCGGUGACCGGAAUUUCGUGCCGAUUGUCGUGGUGCAGUCCGUUUAUUUAAUUGAGCUUCAAUUUUUAUGGAAUUGAUUUAAAUUGUGAAAUUUGAGGAAUUGUCCUAAAUUGUUUGUUAUUGAAUAUUUGAUUGGUAGAUGGCCGAGUAUGGGUAUAUAGCGCCAGUACGUUGAUGGGCUAUAUAGUAGAGAGAAUGGUGAGAGCUAACUGAGAAUGUUAUUGGCUGAGACCAGUCAGGUACGAUAUUUUGGACAAACGUGGUUCGGUGAUUGGAAGUAUCAUUGGCGAAAACGGCGCCUUAAAAAACGCACGUGAAUAACUUAUAGACAAACGUGGUUCGGUGAUUAAGGAAAUAUCACUGGUGAAAACGACGCCUUAAAGAACUCACAAUGUUGUCUAUUGCCGAUGUCACCUUGGCGAAAACGGCGCCCUAGAAAGGACACGUGGUUCGGUUAUCGAGAAUAUCACUGGUGAAAACGGCGCCUUAAAGAACGCACGGUGUCGGUGAUCGGUAUGUCAUUGGCGAAAACGACGCCCGAGAAACACAUGUGAUUUGGUGAAGGAGUAUAUCAUUAGGGAAUCAUGAUAUGAGUGGGAAUGACCUAGAGGUGAUUCAAAUGACAUGUAAUUGACUAAAUUGAUUGACCAGUGCUUGAUCGGAUGUUGUGAAUUGUUUGAAUAUCUGUGUUUAACCAUGAAUUGCAGGUUGGAAUCUGAGGCCAAGGUAAGUCCUUUGGUCUGUGCAUGUUUAGGCAACCUAUAGUGUAUUGGCUUACUAAUCAGAUUUUAGGGGGUGAGACGUGGUCUCAUUAGUUAUUGAAUAACCAUUUCAGGACCCUGAGGAGGAGCCAAGGAAGAGGAACCUGAGGAGGAGAAAGAUUUUUGAAGAAGAAGAAGAUGAUCCAGAGAGGGAUCUUGAGUACAACUCGGAUGUGGAUUGAGAUCCCAUCCCUUUUGUGAACCCUGUCUUAGUGUACAUAGGUGUGAGACUUGUUGCUGUAAAUAGUAUUGUAAAUAUACUAUGAGUUAUGCUGUUAAUAAAAGUGUGGUUGUGAAUUUCAAUAUGAAAAAUAUGGCCUGCUUUUCUAUCCCAUUGUUUUAUUGUCUGGGGAUUUAAAACUCCUUCCGCAUGCGAAUAAAGAGAAAGGGUCGGCGAUACUUAGUCCUGGGAUAUUGCACUUUAAAAUCGACAAAGUAGAAAGAUGUGUGCGUCCCCAAGGAUCGGGGUGUGACAUGCCCUUUUUGUGGUAUCAGAGCUUAAUUCAAGAUUGGAGUGAUAAGGAGCGUUGACCAUGCGAUAGUUGGUAGGAAAGGCCUUUAAAUUCAUGCUGGUGCAUGUUUGUGUUAGCUGAGUGCUAAAAUUAUUUGUUGUUUGAAUCGCUCUGUUUCUAAUUCGGUGUUGAAUUGGAAACAGGUGUCAGUUGUUUAAAGUGACACUAUGAGCGAUCAGGAGCCGAGGACUCCUACAAAGAGGGCCAGUAGGGCUGUGACUCGGGGUAGAGCGCCGACUAGAAUCGGUACCCGAGGAGGCCGUGGUCGAGCGCCAGCACAGGCUAGUGCGAGUGGAAUGGUUCCACCUGUUAUAGAUGCUAGAGUAGCACCACCUCCUGUUGGUGCUAGGGUAGCAGCCUCGGGUGAGCAAGGAAUUGUCGAAAUCAACCAACCUCUAGAUGCUAUGCGGGAGAUGAUGGGGCGAUAGGCUCGAGAUCAAGCUACCGCCUUUAUUGCUGCUAUUGAAGCCGCCGCCACUGCUGCUGCCAAUGCUGCUAUUGCUGCCGCAGCUGCCGCCGUACCUGCUGCCGCACCUGUCACUGCACCUGCCGCAGCUCAAGCUGAAGGUCCACCCGGAAUAGUGGUCGCGGACAAACCAAUUCAUCAGUUGGUAGAACAAUUCCUGAAGCUAAAUCCGCCUCAGUUUAUCAGGACCAGAGACCCUGAAGCUGCUACUUCAUGGAUCCAGAAAUUGGAGAAAGCUUUUGCACUGUUAAUGUGCAAUGAGACUGAAAAGGUAGUACUUGCAACUUACCAACAGGAUGGAGUUGCAGAUACUUGGUGGAAGACGACUCGAGGAACCAUAUUCCCAUAAGGUGUUGUUCCAGAGUGGAACGCCUUUCUAGAGGAUUUUAAUGUCAAAUAUUUCUCAAAAACUGCCAGAGAGGUGAAGAUGGCAGAAUUUCAACGCCUUCGCCAGGGUUCCCUAACCGUCGAUCAAUAUGAGGCAAAGUUCGCUGAACUUUCGCAGUAUGCUCCUGAAUUAAUUGCAAAUCCAGUAAACCGAGCGAGGAGGUUCAGAGAAGGAUUCAAGCCAAACUUAAGAAGUACAUUGAUUUCCCUAAACCUGAGGACUUAUAAUGAUCUUUAUGAGAGAGCCUAAAUGAUCGAGAGAGAUCAGAAUGACAGAGUUGCCUCAUCGGGGUCGAGAUUUAACUCUCAUCGAGAGAAUAUUCGUUAGGGAAAAAGACCCAUGUCCAGAGGUAGAUCCCAUGCCCCACCCUUCAAAAGAAGCGAAUUCAAUAGGCAGAUGUCCAAUAACAUGGGUAUAUGUCGCUUUUGUGGAAGGCGACACGGGACAGCUCCGUGCCCAGCAAGGACAGGAGCUUGUUUCGAGUGUGGCUAGCAGGGCCGCAUCGCAAGGUAUUGUCCAAAGAAGCAGAGAGGACAACCUCAAUUGCCACCGCCACCACCGAGAGGACAGAUAAGAGGGUAUGCCCCUCAGAACGUGCCACAAGGAGGACAACAGAGACCUCCAGCUCAAGGCACGAUUUAUGCAAUCACACAAGGUCAGGCGGAAGCUGCGCCUAACGUGAUAAUGGGUAUGAUUUCGCUCAACGACCAACCUGCUUAUGCUUUGUUUGAUCCGGGAGCAACCCACUUAUUUAUUGCUAAGCAGUAUGUUAACUUGAUAGGAGUCAGUCCUAUAUUAUUGGAGCCGAUGAUGUGCAUAUCUACACCCUUGAAAGAUAAAGUUAUUACUACUUUGGGUUGUUCGGGGUGCAAGUUAGUGAUUGGUGAACGAGAGGGGAAAAUAGAUAUUUUAGUCCUAGCCAUGUAUGACUUUGAUUUAAUAAUUGGUAUGGACUGGCUCACCAAGAAAAGAGCUAAAAUGGACUGUUAUCGUAAAGCGAUUCAGUUUGACCCGAUAGAUGGUGAGAGCUUCGAGUUUGAAGGAAGUCGAGGAGGACCCUCGAUUGUCCUAAUCUAGUCGCUUGAGACAGCUCGUUUGUUAGACGAGGGUUGUCAAGGGUACUUGGCAACUGUCGUGGAUAUGACAGUUGAGGAACUGAAAGUGGAGGACAUUUCAGUUGUUCAGGAAUUCCAAGAUGUCUUCCCAAAGGAAUUGCCAAGGUUACCGCCAGAAAGGGAGAUUGAAUUUGUAAUCGAACUAGUACCGGGGACAGAACCGAUCUCAAGGGCGCCUUACUGAAUGUCAUUAUCAAAGUUGAAAGAAUUGAAAGUGCAGAUGCAAGAAUUAUUGGACACAGGAUUUAUUCGUCCUAGUGCAUCGCCUUGGGGAGUACCAGUUCUAUUUGUUAAAAAGAAAGAUGGAUCAUUGCGCCUGUGCAUUGAUUAUCAACAGCUCGACUAGGUAACCAUUAAGAACAAAUAUCCCUUCCCAAGGAUUGAUGAUCUGUUCGAUCAAUUGCAAGGAGUGUCAAUAUUCUCGAAGAUUGAUUUGAGGAUUGGAUAUCAUCAGCUGAGAAUUAAGAAGGAGGAUAUUCCUAAGUCAGCAUUUCGUACUCGGUAUAGUCAUUACGAGUUCACAGUGAUGCCAUUCGGGUCGAUGAAUGCUCCAACUGCCUUCAUGGAUAUGAUGAACCGAAUAUUCAAGAAAUAUCUAGAUCAAUUUGUGAUCGUGUUCAUUGAUGAUAUCUUGGUCUAUUCGAGGAGUGAUGAAGAGGAUGAGAAUCAUCUGAGAUUAGUGCUCCAGACUUUAAGGAUGCAUCAGUUGUAUGCUAAGUUUAGCAAAUGCGAGUUUUAGUUGACUCGUGUUACGUUCUUAGGUCAUGUGAUUUCCGAAGAAGGAAUCUCCGUCGACCCGAGCAAGAUAGAAGCCGUGAUCAAUUGGCAGAGACCGACAUUAGUGACAGAAAUCAGAAGUUUUCUAGGAUUGGCAGGUUAUUACAGACGGUUUGUAGAAGGUUUCUCAGCGUUAGCAUCACCUCUAACUAAGCUCACGAAGAAAAACGAGAAGUUCAUAUGGAGUGCGAGCGUAGUUUUCAAGAGCUGAAGGAAAAGCUGACUAUUGCACCUGUGCUGACAAUUCUAUCUGGCCCCAGAGGAUUCGAGAUCUAUAGUGAUGCGUCAUUCAAAGGAUUGGAUUGUGUAUUGAUGCAACAUGGCAGAGUUGUUGCAUACGCCUCCCGUCAGUUGAGACCUCGUGAGUUGAACUAUCCAACGCAUGACUUAGAGCUCGCAGCCAUUAUAUUUGCCCAGAAGAUUUGGAGACAUUACUUGUGCGGGGAAAAGUUCCAGAUCUUCACGGACCAUCAAAGUCUCAAGUAUUUAUUCUCUCAAAAUAAGUUGAACAUGAGACGGCGCCGAUGGAUGGAAUUGCUGAAAGACUACGACUGUGAUAUUUUAUAUCACCCAGGGAAGGCGAACAAGGUCGCCGAUGCUUUAAGUCGAAAGUCUUCAGUGGCUCAAAUACUGAUUAAGGAGUGGAACUUAAUCGAGAGAGCUCGAGACUCGGAAUUUAAAUUUGAGGUAGGCCACCUCUCGAGUUUUAUGGCCACCCUCAGAAUUGAACCGGAUGUCCGGGUUAGAAUCAAACAACUCCAACUGACAGACCCAGAUGUACAGAGAAUUCUUCAGGAAGACACAAAGAAAAGAAAGGCUGAUUUUCAAAUCGCUGAUGACGGGACACUAAGAUUCCAAGGAGGAUUGGUUGUACCUAACGAUGUAGAGCUUAGAGAAGAAAUUUUAUCUGAAGCACAUUGUAGCAGUUACAGCAUUUAUCCUGGAAGCACUAAGAUGUAUCAGAAUCUGUGUCAACACUAUUGGUAGUCAGGUAUGAAGGCGGAUAUCACCAAACAUGUGGCCAAGUGUUUGACAUGUCAACAAGUAAAAGCUCAGCAUUGCAAGCCGGGAGGACUUCUGCAACCUCUCGCGAUCCCAGAGUGGAAAUGGGAACAUAUCACGAUGGACUUCGUGACUAGGCUACCAAGAAGUCAAAGAGGGAAUGAUUCGAUCUGGGUGGUAGUCGAUAGAUUGACAAAGUCAACUCACUUCAUUGCAGUUCGAAGGGACCUUAGUUUGGAUAGGCACGCAGACCUAUAUGUGCGCCAAGUGGUUCGAAUGCAUGGAGUGCCGGUUACGAUAACAUCUGAUAGAGACUCGAGAUUUACUACUGCUUUUUGGAAGAGUUUGCAGAGUGCUCUUGGUAAAAAGCUUCAGUACAGUACGGCGUAUCAUCCUCAGACGGAUGGCCAGUCUGAGAGGACAAUUCAGACCCUCAAAGACAUGCUGAGAGCUUGUAUAAUAGACUUCAAGGGAAGUUGGGAAGAUCAACUUCAUCUGGUAGAAUUCGCCUACAACAAUAGUUAUCAGCAGAGUAUUCAGAUGGCUCCAUUCGAAGUGUUGUAUGGCAGAGCAUGCAGAACACCAGUGUGUUGGGAUGAGGUUGGGGAAAGAAAAAUCACAGGCCCAGAGUUGGUUCAACAGUCAGUAGAUGCCGUGGCAGUGAUCAGAGACAGAUUAAAGACAGUGCAGAGCAAACAGAAAAGUUACGCAGAUAAGCGCCAGAGGUCUUUGGAAUUCCAAGUUGGUAAUCACGUUUUUCUAAAAGUAUCACUAAUGAGGAGAACUUCGCGCUUUGGUAAGAAAGGCAAAUUGAGUCCGAGGUACGUAGGUCCGUUUGAGAUUCUUGAAAUAAUCGGGACCUUAGCGUAUCGUCUUGUGUUGCCGCCAAGAUUGGCGCAAAUGCAUGACGUCUUUCACGUGUCGAUCUUAAGGAAGUACGAGCCUGACCCGACCCACGUGCUCAAUUUCGAGGAAUUGGACGUGGAUGACCGUGUGUCAUACGUCGAAAGACCGGUCCAGAUUGUUGAUCGCAAAAAGCAAGUUCUGCGUACAAAGACCAUCCCGUUGGUCAAAAUGGUUUGGCAACACCACGGUAUAGAAGAAGCGACAUGGGAGACUGAGGAGUCAAUGAGACAAUUGUAUCCCCACCUUUUUUAUCAAGUCUUGUAAGGUUUAAAUUUCGAUGAUGAAAUUUUUAUAAGAGGGGAAGAGUUGUGACAUCCAGAUUUUUCAACCCUGUCUUCUACUGAAUAAAUCGGGCAUUUCAUUGACGCGCUUAUAGGGUUAUUCUCAGAGCCGAUCACUCUCGAGAUAACUAGACUAUCUGGGGAAAUUAUUAAGGAAUUUUAAGGCAAUAGACUUGAGAACUAGAUUAGGAAUCGGCUUCUCGACCAUGUCCAUCUUUAGAGGUCAUUACGGCAUAGUUAAAAAUCUAUUUGAAAUCAGAGAUAGACUGGUUCGAAAGAUAUGUGUGGCUAAUCGUGGGUGACACCACUAAAUUGGAAAAUGCUCGUCGACCGGCAUUAGACUGAUUUUCUUAUUGUUUUGGUACCCUGUGUUUGUAUUUGGAUCCUCGAGAUUUUCACGACAAGCGAGAGUCACCAAUGAGUCGAGUGGGUUCAUAGUGGUUCGAAGAAAAUCGACCACGGGUCAUUUGCACUUAAAAAUAUAUGAAAGUUACUCGAUAGCCUAGGUCACGCUAAAAACGCGCUAAGUUGAAAUUAACAGCGAAUUCAAGUCCGAUUUCGGAAAUCGAAGUUUCUGUCAUGUCACAAUAAAUUCUAGGAGUAUCGACUCAGUCUUAGAAUUUUUUUUUUGACACUCGACACUUUUUGGGAAAAAGUCGUCGCCGGGUCAUGUUUGUACAGAAAAUGUCGAAGAUGGUUUUCGAUUGCGAAAUUGAGAAACAUGAAGGAUACUUGGGUGAGGAAAAAUGUUGGGGUAAUUGAUGGAUGACCAAUUGAUUUUGUGAGGUUCAAUUGAGAUGAAAUUUGGAUGGGAUGAACAUCCAAUUGAAGCCGAAAUUUUAAAAUUCGUAGCCCCCUCCCUCCUAGCCAUUUUGGACCAAUUGGAAAGUCUUGGAGAGGGUCUUGGUGGAUCAUUGGAGGCCAUGGGAUUAUACUUGGCUUAGGAUAGCCUUGAAAGAUAUUUGUUGUGGAAAAUCAAGGCUUUGUGGAGCCCUCACUUCUCAUUCUUAUCCAUCUCUCUCUCACCCCACCAACCGGUCACUCUCUCUCUCUCUCCUCUACCCCUCCAUUCGACGACCUCAGCCAGCGGAAGAGAGAAACUGAAGCUGCUUCUCCAUCCGUGUCUUCUGCCAGGCGUCCACCAAACUGCCCGAGAAGCUCAGCAUCCACCGAAUUCUCCACCGCUUCGUGUCUUCAGCUAGCUCACGCUCGGUCAACAAUGAAACCAGAAGAAGCCCCAUCGUUGACUGAAGAUCCUCACCGCACGGAGUCAAGACCACCUAUUUCUCCACUAUCUUCGUGCGCCAACGUUUCCAUCGGGUUCUUCUCACGCUGCCGCUGAAACUGCUUUAUGAUCGCUCCACUGCAGCAACGACACAGCUCCACCUCCUGCCCUAGUUGCUGCCAAG